CGGUGCAAUCAUACCAACACUAAUGCAUUGAAUCUCAUCAGAACUUCAUAGUUAGGUAUGUUUGAACGAGAAUAGUAUUAAAAUAGGUGACAUUUUGGGAAGUUUUUGUGUUGCACAUC